rnacentral:rRNA from 1 species
GUAGGUGGCAAGCGUUGUCCGGAAUUAUUGGGCGUAAAGCGCGCGCAGGCGGUUCUUUAAGUCUGAUGUGAAAGCCCACGGCUCAACCGUGGAGGGUCAUUGGAAACUGGAGAACUUGAGUACAGAAGAGGAAAGCGGAACUCCACGUGUAGCGGUGAAAUGCGUAGAGAUGUGGAGGAACACCAGUGGCGAAGGCGGCUUUCUGGUCUGUAACUGACGCUGAGGCGCGAAAGCGUGGGGAGCAAACAGGGAUUAGAUACCCUGGUAGUCCACGCCGUAAACGAUGAGUGCUAAGUGUUAGGGGGUUUCCGCCCCCUUAGUGCUGCAGCUAACGCAUUAAGCACUCCGCCUGGGGAUACGGCCGCAAGGCUG